rnacentral:tRNA from 1 species
GCCGGCGUAGCUCAGUUGGUAGAGCAGGGGACUCAUAAGCCCCGCGUCGGGGGUUCGAUUCCCUCCGCCGGCA